rnacentral:tRNA from 1 species
GCGGGUUUAGCUCAGUUGGGAGAGCGUCAGACUGAAGAUCUGAAGGUCAUGAGGUCAUGUGUUCGAUCCACAUAAACCGCA